AGAGUUGAUCAUGGCUCAGGAUGAACGCUGGCGGCGUGCCUAACACAUGCAAGUCAAGCGAUCUUCUCGGAAGAGAGCGGCGGACGGGUGAGUAACGCGUGGGUAACCUGCCCUGUACACACGGAUAACAUACCGAAAGGUAUGCUAAUACGGGAUAACAUACUUUUAUCGCAUGGUAGAAGUAUCAAAGCUCCGGCGGUACAGGAUGGACCCGCGUCUGAUUAGCUAGUUGGUAAGGUAACAGCUUACCAAGGCGACGAUCAGUAGCCGACCUGAGAGGGUGAUCGGCCACAUUGGAACUGAGACACGGUCCAAACUCCUACGGGAGGCAGCAGUGGGGAAUAUUGCACAAUGGGCGAAAGCCUGAUGCCAGCAACGCCGCGUGAGCGAUGAAGGCCUUCGGGUCGUAAAGCUCUGUCCUCAAGGAAGAUAAUGACGGUACUUGAGGAGGAAGCCCCGGCUAACUACGUGCCAGCCGCCGC
rnacentral:rRNA from 1 species